UGGGGAAUUUUGGACAAUGGGCGAAAGCCUGAUCCAGCAAUGCCGCGUGUGUGAAGAAGGCCUUCGGGUUGUAAAGCACUUUUGUCCGGAAAGAAAUCCUUGGCUCUAAUACAGUCGGGGGAUGACGGUACCGGAAGAAUAAGCACCGGCUAACUACGUGCCAGCAGCCGCGGUAAUACGUAGGGUGCAAGCGUUAAUCGGAAUUACUGGGCGUAAAGCGUGCGCAGGCGGUUUGCUAAGACCGAUGUGAAAUCCCCGGGCUCAACCUGGGGAACUGCAUUGGUGACUGGCAGGCUAGAGUAUGGCAGAGGGGGGUAGAAUUCCACGUGUAGCAGUGAAAUGCGUAGAGAUGUGGAGGAAUACCGAUGGCGAAGGCAGCCCCCUGGGCCAAUACUGACGCUCAUGCACGAAAGCGUGGGGAGCAAACAGGAUUAGAUACCCUGGUAGUCCACGCCCUAAACGAUGUCAACUAGUUGUUGGGGAUUCAUUCCUUAGUAACGUAGCUAACGCGUGAAGUUGACCGCC
rnacentral:rRNA from 1 species